rnacentral:rRNA from 1 species
UGGGGAAUAUUGCACAAUGGGCGAAAGCCUGAUGCAGCAACGCCGCGUGAGUGAUGAAGGCCUUCGGGUUGUAAAGCUCUGUCUUUUGGGACGAUAAUGACGGUACCAAAGGAGGAAGCCACGGCUAACUACGUGCCAGCAGCCGCGGUAAUACGUAGGUGGCAAGCGUUGUCCGGAUUUACUGGGCGUAAAGGAUGCGUAGGCGGAUUUUUAAGUGAGAUGUGAAAACCCUAAGCUUAACUUGGGGACUGCAUUUCAUACUGGAAAUCUAGAGUGCGGGAGAGGAGAAUGGAAUUCCUAGUGUAGCGGUGAAAUGCGUAGAGAUUAGGAAGAACACCAGUGGCGAAGGCGAUUCUCUGGACCGUAACUGACGCUGAGGCAUGAAAAGCGUGGGGUAGCAAAACAGGAUUAGAUACCCUGGUAGUCCACGCCGUAAAACGAUGAGUACUAGGUGUAGGAGGUAUCGACCCCUUCUGUGCCGCAGUUAACACAAUAAGUACUCCGCCUGGGAAGUACGAUCGCAAGAUUAAAAACUUAAAAUGAAUUGACGGGGGUCAUAGCUGUUUUCCU